rnacentral:rRNA from 1 species
UACGAAGGGGGCUAGCGUUGCUCGGAAUUACUGGGCGUAAAGGGAGCGUAGGCGGUCAGUUAAGUCAGUGGUGAAAGCCCAGGGCUCAACCCUGGAAUUGCCUUUGAUACUGAUUGUCUUGAGUAUGGGAGAGGUGUGCGGAACUCCGAGUGUAGAGGUGAAAUUCGUAGAUAUUCGGAAGAACACCAGUGGCGAAGGCGGCACACUGGCCCAUUACUGACGCUGAGGCUCGAAAGCGUGGGGAGCGAACAGG